CUCUCUCUCUCUCUCCCUCCCCUUCUGUCCAUCCAUUUCUCCCUCUAUCUCUUUCUCUCUGCUCAUAACGGCUGCAGUCUCUCCUCCGCUGGCAUCAGCACGACAAUCAGGCUGGAUGAUGCAGGACUGUUUGCUCAGGACACACAUGAUCCCAGUGAGGGAUGAGGACGCAGAGUCUCAGAGGAAGGCCAAGUCACGACAGGCCAGACAGACUUGACGAGCUACACAGGGAGUUACACUCUCAGAGUUGUUGGAGGCAAAGAGAACCUUCAGCCCGUCCAAACUGGAUCUGCAAACAGGUGAGGCGUGUAGAUCAGAGGGACAGUGUCUCCAGAGAAAAGUCCCUGAGGACACAACAGAAACAGGCCCUUCUCUGAGGGAGCAACAACAGUCUGAGAAACACGAAAGUGACCACCUGGAUGAGCAAGGAAACUGGAAAAGAAGAACAGGAAGCAAACCUGAAAGGUCAUCUUUUUGCUUCUCAUCAGUUAAAGGAGCGUGUGGUUUCACUCCCAGUCUGAAGAGUCUCAGCACCUCCAUAGAGUCUGAAAGGACAGAUGAAAAUUACAACAUCCUUAACGGUUCCUCUGAUGCCUCUCUGACACUGCAGCUGACUGAAGACCUUGAUCUCAGCGCUGAGCUGACCGGCCUGCUCACUAAGGUACCACUAGUGUGUUUUUGAUUCA